GUGGGGACAUGCUUCGCUCCAGGGAACUGUUCUGAGCUCAGCAUUAGAAGGGAUGUUCCCAUUCCAGAUAAAUAUCCCAUUCCAAUGGAUAAAGCACACCAACUGGAAGAAGGAUGCUGCUGUGGUUUUUAGUGGUGGAGUAAAAAACGAUCACGUAAACGCUUUGACCCUGGUGAAAAUAUACAAAGAAGCUCUGCCCCUUCCCGGAUUGAAAACUAAGGACCUGUCAGCCCCAGGGAGCAAGUGCACCUGUGCUGAGUGCCAGGAAGUGUGGCUGCCUCUCUGAGUGUGCCUCCUGGCUGCUGGGAGGGCAGGAAGGAAACUGGGAAUGGUUUUACUCAGCAGGGAGGUACAGGGAGCCAUGUCCUCGCCCAUUUUCAAACUUUGAAGAGGAAGGUUGCGUGACUGGAAUAGACCUCAUAGUUUAGCAAGUGAAUAACCAGGCAGCCCGGAGUGCCCAAUGUACAAAUAAUGGCUUCCUUUCCUCUUCUUCCCUCUGUGCCACACUUGUUUCUUUUGUCUUCUUACACAUUAUUCAAUGCCAGCAGAAACUGCAGCUCCUGAGCAGGAUUGAAAGAGCGGGGUGCAUGUCCUGCCUCCCAGCUCAGCCUCGCGAGCUGCCAGCAGCGAGAGCCCAGCCUGCGCUAUGACCGCAGAGCAUUGCACGCACUAGCCAGCCUGCAGCAGGAACACUGCAAAUAAUGGCAAAGAACUGGGCUACGCUACAGGAAGCAAAGCAUUUUAUUGCAUAAAAAUAUGUGGCUGGAAAUUUAGGUAUUCCUGGUGAAUGGGUAAAAUGAAUAGCAAAUGUUUACUUGCUGUACACAAUGUGCAGAGUCUAUUUACCUGUUGUUUCACAUAGGGCUGUUUCUGAGACAACAAAGGUUAGAGCAGGCUGCAGCCUGCUUUGCUGUACUUAAUGAGGCACUCUCCAUUGCUGUUGCGGAAGCAGGAGAGCCAUGCAGAGCCUUCUCGAAGGGGCAGAGGCAGAUGGGCUCAUGUUGGGCUGUUUAACGGCGCAAAAUGCUUUUCAGUUGACAAAGUCAUUAUGACUACGGGAAGCUCUUUAAGGCUCAUAAGCUGUAACUUGAGCAGAAAUCAGAGCUUUGCAGAGGGGUGGAUGUCAGUUGGGUUACGAUCUCCCGUGCCUCCUUCAG
rnacentral:lncRNA from 1 species